GUUUCAGGCCUAAGGAAGUGACAGUAGGUAUGAAACAAUUGUAGCUCCUGUUUCCCGCUUCACCUGUACCAUCGCUCCCCUGUCUACGAUUCAAGACAUAUCGGUGCUUAUUCUAUCCCAAAAACUACUGCAUCUCUCUUGCAUUUGAAUUGGUGCGAGCACAGGUUAGAGCUCGGGACAACUACUACUACCACCACUAUGACUGGAUGUGAUUUACUUUAAGAAUGUUGAGCGUUGCGCCUCUGGAGUGCCCAACACCCUCUGGGAAGUCAAUAGUGGAGAACAUUUUUCAAAAGAAGUUACCUCAAGAAGAUUUCUCUGAAGCCAGGACUGUAACAUUAUAUGGCAGCCAUUAAAACCAAUGGAUGUCUAUGUAAUGAAUAUAAAACACCAGCAUGCAAGCUGCUCCUACAGAGAGUGUCUAAGUUCUAGCUCAAAAAGGGCCAUAUGCCCUUACAGGACACUUGGACAGGGGUUUUCUUAAAGGGACAACCAUCUUAACAUUCACUGUACUAUGAGCAGUAAAGUUUACUAUUAUGGGGUAUGACUGGACAUAACGUAACUACAUGAAAUUAAGUAAUGAGGUCAGGUAUCCAUGAUGCAUGAGAAUACACUGUAAAAACUCAACAACUAUCUGCAUUAUAUGAAAAAAAAAAAGUGUUAAAGUUACAAUCUGAAAGAACAGAGGAGUCUAUUGUUCCUUUUUGCACCAAGGAUAACAGCUGUGUGG